rnacentral:rRNA from 1 species
UACAGAGGGUGCAAGCGUUGUUCGGAAUUAUUGGGCGUAAAGCGCGUGUAGGCGGCUUAGCAAGUCGGGCGUGAAAGCCCUCGGCUCAACCGAGGAAGUGCACUCGAAACUGCAGAGCUCGAGUCCUGGAGAGGAAGGCGGAAUUCUCGGUGUAGAGGUGAAAUUCGUAGAUAUCGAGAGGAACACCGGUGGCGAAGGCGGCCUUCUGGACAGUGACUGACGCUGAGACGCGAAAGCGUGGGGAGCAAACAGG